rnacentral:lncRNA from 1 species
GGUUUCAUCGUGUUAGCCAGGAUGGUCUUGAUCUCCUGACCUCGUGAUCCGCCCACCUCGGCCUCCCAAAGUGCUAGGAAUACAGGCGUGAGCCACUGUGCCUGGCCUCAAUCAUUUCUUCUAAAGUACAGGACUUUGAAUAUGAGAUCAGCUUAUAUUCAAAAUCAAUUUAAUAAUUAAAUCAAAUUUAAAUAUUAAAUUAUUUGCAGGCCAAAAGAAGUGAGCUUCCUAAAGUGACACCCAAUACUCUUGUUAAAGCUGCUACAGAAUGCUUUUCUAAGAAAGACCCUUCAGCUUAUGGGUGUUAUUUUACAUCUGUCACACAAAAGAUUUCUCUUUGGAAACAAUUUAGUAUUCUAAAUAUUUUUAGUUAAUUGAACAUAGUACUCAAAGACUGACUUUUGUUGCCACUAUGAGAACAUGGUAAUGUCACAGGUCAACCAAUAACAGGAUUUCAUCAAAUGGUCUGCUGCACUGUGCUGGAAUUUUGAACUCCCCAGAGUAGUAAACAACAUCUUCUCAAGGGUAUACAAGUCAUCAGAUAGAGAAAACACCCAUUAUAGAGCUGUGGAGCCCUUACGAUAUAGUGCUAUGCUGCAACAAAUUAGACAGAAGAGUAUUUGUUGAAUAAUAAAAGAGUCUCACUCUAUUGCCCAGGCUGGAGUGCAGUGGCAUGAUCUCGGUACACUGCAAGCUCUGUCUCCUGAGUUCAAGCGAUUCUCAUGCCUCAGCCUCCCGAGUAGCUGGGAUUACAGUUUUCCAAUAAUAACAUAGAAAAAAGGAAGAAUUUGAGAGUUUCUCAGAUUAGGCAAUUCCUUGAAGAAUCUGAGAACACAGAAGCUCCCCUCCCUACUUUCCAUGAUUGAAAUCAGUGAUUCAUUGGUUUCUUUGUGUGGGCUUUUGAAAGAUCAUUAGAAACCAACCUGAAGAUCAUGAGAUUCUUGUGGACACAGGAGCAAUGAGUGGCAAUACAGUGCUUUCUAAUGCAACCUACUUUAAAAGGUAAACAGAUAAAAGAAAAUACCGAAGACUGAAAAUGCAGAAAAUUCAACCAUGCAGCCCAUUCCAAAUUAAAUAUGUCUUCCUCUCUAAUUCCUCUCUUCUAGCAGAGAAGGGGAGAUGAGCUAUGACUCCAUGCUCAUGCUUAACAAAAUUGUGUUAGAUUGGUGCAAAAGUAAUUGCAGUUUUUGCCAUUUAAAAGUAAUUGCAAUGUUAUCUCCUAGAAUUUUUAUAGUUUCAGGUCUUAAGUUUAAGUCCUUAAUCCAUCUUGAGCUGAUUUUUUGUAUAGGGCUGGACGUUCGCUUAGGCAAGGAUUUCA